CACCCCACUCUGUCCCUAUCCUCCAGGCCCCCGAAGCCUGCCUUCAGCAGCAGCCGCUUCCCGUUUCUUCUGGCUGCACUGACUGCCUGGUGGCCAGAGGUACAGGGUACCCCGAACAACUUGAGUUUUAUAAGAGCUUGUACUUUUAUGAUGGCUUUGGUUCAUGCUGGGCCAUUCUUGACACUCUUGCCUUGGAUCUACACAAAAGACAAAAGAGGAUCCUACUGUGCAAAAUGGCUUUUUCCCCCUUCAGUAAUGGGGAUUGAACCUAGAGCACUGAAUCUAACAGGUGCCCAAGCUGGAGUUACAGGUGGUUGUGAGACAUCUGAUGUGAGUGUUGGGAACCGAACUAGCUCUUCUGAAGGAACACUUGCUCUCUUAACUGCUGAGCUGUCUUGCUAGCCCUCUGGUAUAUCUCCAAGGGCAUUCCAAGAAGGUUUACCUGGACUUGGGCAGUCCCAUCCCAUGGACUAGGAGAAAAAAAUGAGCAGGAGAAAGUGAACUGAGCACUAGUAUUCACCUCUUUCUGCUUCCUGACUGUGGAUGUCAUGUGACCGCCUGCCUCAUGCUCUUGCUGCCAUGCAUUACCUACCAUGUUGUACUGUACCCUCAAACUGUGAGCCCAAACCCCUGAAACUUCUUUUGUUGGGUAAUUUGUCAUAGCAACGAUAAAGGAAACUGAUACACAGGACAUGAAGUCUCAUCUUUUUAUCACCCAGGGUGGCUCUUGCCCUUUCAUUGGCCAUUCCAAACCUUCCCAGACUUUCCCAAUCUGCUGUUUUACCCCUCUUACUCCUGGAGGGUGACCUUAUGUUCUGAGGAAAAAAUCACCUGUGGAAGAUAAAGUCUCCC